UAGUGACUGCUUUGCAUUUUUUUUGUUUUGCGAGGACUAAUACUGUUGACUAUCGGGUUUAAUUUCAAGCUCAAGUUAUUAGGGUAUUAGUAGUUAUGGCCGUAUGCUGUACUUUGUCUUUUUCAAAUUAUGCUAAUUUGAAUUUUUGAGUAAUGAGUUGUGACUAUUUUGCAUUUAUUUUGUUUAGUGAGGACUAUUGCUAUUGACUAUCGGACUCAAGUGGGUGUACCGUGGUAAUAGCGAUGCCUAGGCCCAAGUACUCUCAAAUCCAUAAUCCCACCUUUGAAUUUUGUGGUAACGUACUGUGGCCUUUAAAUUUUGUAUCUUUAUCAUCUUGGGCCUUAAUUAACCUGAACUUGAGUUCCCCGGGUUCAAUUUUCAAGCUCCAUGUUAAUUAGGUAUUAUUAUACAAGGCCUUAUAUUAAACUUUGUCUUUUAAAUUAGCUGAUUUGAGUUUUGUGUGUAUUGUAGUGACAGUUUGCAUUUGUUCUUUUUUGCGAGGACAAUUGCUCUUGACUACCGAUCAACUUCAACUCGAGUUAAUUUAGGAGGUACUUUUUGUUUAGUACUUUAUGGUGUUUUUUAUCUAACAGCAUGAUUUUAUGUUUGAGUAACGAGUUAGUUACAGCUUUGCUUUUUUUUUGUUUGCGAGGACUAAUACGGUUGACUAUCGGGUUUAUUGCAAGCUCCAGUUAUUAGGGUAUAGUAGUUGUGGCCGUAUGUUGUACUUUAUCUUUCAAAUUAUGGCUAAUUUGAAUUUUUUUGAGUAAUGAGUUGUGACUUUUUUUGCAUUUAUUUUGUUUAGUGAGGACUAUUGCUGUUGACUCUCGGACUCAAGUUUCAAGCUACGAGUUCUUUAGAGUACUUUUUCCCUUAGUACUUUAUUGUUAACAUUUUAUUUAUAACAUGAUUUUAAUGUUUGAGUAACGAUUUGUGGACUGCUUUGCAUUUUUUUGUUUUGGCGAGAGUAAUACUGUUGACUAGCGGGUUUAAUUUCAAUCUCAAGUUUUAGUGUAUUAGUAGUAUGGCAGUAUUUGUACUUUGUCUUUUCAUUAUGCUAAUUUGAAUUUUUUUUGAUUAAUGAUUUUGUGACUAUUUUGCAUUUAUUUUGUUUAGUGAUGCUAUUGGCUAUUGACUAUCGGACUCAAGUGGUGGUACCGUGCUAUAUCGAUGCUAGGCCCAAGUAUCUCUCAAUCCUAUCUCCGCUCCUUUGAAUUUGUGGUACUAACUGUUGCUUUAAAUUUUUGUUAUUUAUCUUGGUGCCUUAAUUAACCUGAACUUUGAAGUUCCCCCCUCCCCCCCGGGUUCAAUUUCAAGCUCAUUUAAUUAGGUAUUAUUAACAAGCCUUAUGUUUUUACUUGUCUUUUAAAAUUAUGCGGAUUUGAGUUUUUGUGUAAUAUGUUAGUACUUUUUGCAUUUGUUCCUUGUUUUGGCGAGGAUAUUGCUUUGACUACCCUACCCGGAUUCACUUCACAAAGCUCCUAUUGUAUUUAUGUACUGUUUGUUAGUACUGAGAAUGGGGGGGGGGGAGGGGGGGUGGGGGGGGGGGGGUAGUCAAGAACAGAAAAUGGGGGGUGCUGUCGAUCUUUUUUUUUUUCUGGUUCUCAACAGGAAAAAAGUCAUGAUUUUAAUGUUGGAAGUAACUAGUAGUGACUGCUUAUGCAUUUUUUUUGUUUUUGCGAGGACUAUACUUGACUAUCGGGUUUUAUUUUUUAUUUCAGCUCAAUUUAGGGUAUUAGUAUUAAAUGCCGUAUGCUGUACUUUUGUCUUUUCAAUUAUGCUAAUUUGAUUCUUGAGUAUGAGUUUUGUGCUAGUUUUGCAUUUAGUUUGUUUUCGUGAGGACUAUUUCUAUUGACUAUCGGACUCAAGUGGGUGUAACCGUGCGAUAGCCUAUGCCUAGGCCCAAUUAACUCCCCCCUCAAUCCAUAUCUCUUCGCCUUUGAAUGUUUUGGUCGUAACGUGGCUUUUAAUUUUGUAUUUUAUCUUGGGCCUUAAAUUAACUGACCUUGAAGUUCCCCGGGUUCAAAUUUCAAGCUCAAUUUAUUAGUAUUAUUAGACAAGGCCUUAUGUUGUACUUUGUCCUUUUUAAAAUUAUGGCUGAUUUGAGUUUUUUGUGUAAUAUGUAGUGACUGUUUUGCAUUUUUUCUGUUUUGCGAGGACUAUGCUAUUUGACUAUCGGAUUCCACCUUCAAAAGCUCCGAGUUCUUUAGGUACUUUUUUGUUAGUACUUUUAUGUGUUGUUUAUUUAUCUCAUGUUUUCAUGUUUUGCUUCCCUCGUAGUGACUUUCUUGCAUUUUUUUGUUUUGCGAGGACUAAUACUGUUGACUUCGGGUUAAUUUCAAGCUCAAGGUUAUUUAAGUUAUUAGUGUUCUUGGCCGUAUGUUGUACUUUGGUCAUUUUCAAUUAUGCUAAUUUGAAUUUUUGAGAAUGAGUUGUUACUAUUUUGCAUUUAUUUUGUUUAGUGAGGACUAUUGCUAUUGACUAUCGGACUCAAGUGGGUGUACCGUGCUAAUAGCGAUGCCUAGGCCCAAGUACUCUCAAAUCCAUAUCUCCGCGCCUUUGAAUGUUGUGGUACGUAACUGUGGCUUUAAAUUUUGUAUAUUUAUCUUGGGCCUUAAUUAACCUGAACUUGAAGUUCCCCGGGUUCAAUUUCAAGCUCAUGUUAAUUAGGUAUUAUUAGACAAGGCCUUA
rnacentral:lncRNA from 1 species